GAGACUCCAAACUGCUGAUUGGGCAGGAUGUGCCAUGGUGCCAUGGGCUUGGGAGCUGUUGCAGGACUCUUCUGUGUGGAUUUGAGGAAGUCAUCAUACUUGAGCACUUGGCAAGGGAUCCCCAACUGUUCCAGCUUCACGUGCUUGCUCAACUCACUCAGUGCCAUCUGCACAGCAAUGCUCACAAGCCUGGGCCAGAAGCCAUUGCUAGGCUGGACCACUGGAUUCCUCUCUGUCAUGGCCACAGAGUCCGACAUCUACCUGUGUACUGAAGCCAAAGCACCACGUUCUUUACCUGAUACUAACAGAAAGUCUGAAGCUGCAGUUUGGCCUCUCCUUCCUAAGGAUGUUUGGACAGCUUCAGUUACCUCUGAGUACAAGCAUGGCCCUACCAAUGACGUGUGGGAAGAGCAUGUUCCUGGC
rnacentral:lncRNA from 1 species